UACAGAGGUCUCAAGCGUUGUUCGGAUUCAUUGGGCGUAAAGGGUGCGUAGGUGGUGCUGUAAGUCAGGUGUGAAAUCCCGGGGCUCAACCCCGGAACUGCACUUGAUACUGCAGUGCUCGAGGACUGGAGAGGAGAUCGGAAUUCAUGGUGUAGCAGUGAAAUGCGUAGAUAUCAUGAGGAAGACCAGGGGCGAAGGCGGAGCUCUGGACAGGUCCUGAAAAUGAGGCACCAAGGCCAGGGGAGCAAACGGG
rnacentral:rRNA from 1 species